rnacentral:rRNA from 1 species
CACCGCCCGUCACACCAUGGGAGUUGGCUCUACCCGAAGAUGGUGCGCUAACCGCAAGGAGGCAGCCAGCCACGGUAGGGUCAGCGACUGGGGUG